CUUGUACCUUUUGUAUCGGUCUGUUUAUAGUGUAUUGUCUUUUUCCCGACUGAACAGCGCUGCAGGAAAUAUGUUGGCGCUUUAUAAAUGCCAGCAAUAAAAUAAACUGUGAAUUUGACUGUUUCAAAAUUAGUGGGACAGUGUGUUGUGAGUUCAAAACGAAUGCCAACAUUUCAGAGAAAAUAGCCAAACUGGACUCAAGAUUAUUCCAGUUUGGCUAUUGUAGCCUGUAGAUUGAGAAUCAUCUUGAAUUCCCAAGUAUUCACAAUUUAAUAGAGAAUAACAACUAUACAGAGUAGUGUGCAGCGCAUAAAAAAUAUUCACAAAAACCAUAUAUAAGUGAAAACUUCCAC